GCUGCAUAUCUCCAGCCACACAAAAACAACGCAGCUGCAAGGCUAGGUCAUGGAGGCGACGGCGGGGGCUGCAAGCUCGUCAGCGGCGGGGUCGCUGCGGUCUCGGCGGCGGGGCGGCUGGCUGUGAGCUACGACGGCCAAAUCGGCAUUAGAUCUGGACAGGUUAGGUAUGGAUAAAAGUUGGAUGAGGUUGCAAGAUAGGUUCUCUAGUGACUAUAUCAUGGGAGUAGAUGCAUUCAUUGAAUUUGCUUCUCAACACAAUGGAGGGAAUGGUACAAUGUUUUGCCCUUGCCAAACAUGCAUGAAUACAAGUAAGAGGUGUGCUAAUCAUGUUCGAGUCCAUUUACUAUUGUAUGGUAUACAAAUGUCAUAUACAAAAUGGGUACUACAUGGAGAACAAGUGAGCAAUGAUGAAGAUCAAGGUUAAAAACCCGUAGAGGAUGAAGAUGAUGAUGAAGAUUUUGAAGGACUUGAUGCUAUUCAAGAUCUUGUAGCAGACAUUCAUAAGGGCACAACUGGGAUUCAAGAGCAGGAAAAUCAAGGUGUUCAUGGAGAUAACACUACUAGAUCUAAUCAAGAGGCAACCCGGUUUGAUAACUUGCUAAGCAGUGCACAACGUGAACUAUACCCGGGCUGCAAUAGUCAUUGGGUGUUAUCUUUUCUCUUGAAGUUAGUCCAUCUAAAGGAUUUGAACCAUUGGAGCAACAAAUCGUUUGAGAUCCUUCUAAAAUUAUUAAAGGAGAUUUUGCCAGCAGGUGACACACUACCAACCACAUAUUAUGAAGCAAAAAAGAUGCUAAGAGAUCUAGGAUUGGGUUAUGAAAGUAUACAUGCUUACAUUAAUGAUUGUGUCCUAUUUUGAUGUGGAGAAUUUUGAUGCACAAAACUUGCUGGAAUUCGACCUCCUGAUGUGGAGAAUUUUGAUGCACAAAGGCAAGCUUACACAACUACAACAUCAAGUGGUGGAUCUGGUUCUCUGGUAUCUGAUGGAGUCUCAAGGAGGGGAAUGUGAUUCUUUCAAACAUCAUUCAGAAGGUGCACCUUGUCAAAAAUCUCUGACAGAUACUUGCCAACCAUACUGUGCUCGCAAAUCAAUUCCAAAAGAAUAAUAUUUUUCUUUAGUUGUUUGAAAUUACAUAAAUGUAAAGCAUAUAUUUUCCUUGUAAUAGAAUGAUUUGGAUACAACGUCAGCACUUGAGUACUAGUUAUGUAAAGCGACCAAUUCUUACACUGUACUAUUGAAUGAAACCUGUUCUCAAAUGUGAACUAUUAUUUGAAUUUUGAGAUUUAAAUUUUAAUUUCUCAUUUGGUGUCAUA